UCGAGUGUUAAAACUCCCUUAAACCCCUGUGAACAUACCUAUUGUUGCUUCGGCGGGAUCGCCCCGGGCGCCUUCACUGGUGCCCCGGAACCAGGCGCCCGCCGGGGACUAUAAACUUCUGUUUCUUAUAGAGGAUUUAUCUGAGUGGAUUUUAAAAAUCAAUCA
rnacentral:misc_RNA from 1 species